CAGGCCGUUGAACGGAUCCGGCCAACCCGGUGGUGCCCAUCCGGCGCUCCUCUCCAAUUCUUUAUUUUUUUUUCUUUUGUACAGUGUCCAUCUCCUGAUCUGUAUUAUUCUUCCCUGGCAUUUUUUUUUGUUGCUCGUGGUGGCACUGCCCUAGCUUGUGGCUCGAAGUUGGCCUUCCGGUGUUCGUCAGCUGGAUUUCUUGAGUUCUUUUUUUAUGAAUGAUCAAAAGAUUAAUCAGAUUAGGUCAGCGUCUCUAAUCUCUAUGUUUUGUUUCAGCUGGGGCCUAAACUAUAGCGUGGCCGCAGUGCGAUGUGCGCCGCACCAGGAACUGUUCCCGAAGCUUCUAGUCACAAUCUAGUUCGGUCUGCCCAUGUCACACACACCCUCCAUCGUUGUUUAAAGUGGUUGAGCUCUAUUGGAGUUAGUUAAGGGGAAAAAAGAAAGAAAGAAAAUGUAGAGGAAGGCCAUUAGGAUGACAUGGUGUAGGAGGGUGACUCGAUCGUACCCGUGAUCAUCCAUACGUGGCCCUCCAAUGCAAGGAUGCGGAAAAUGGAGCUCUUCACUACCGGUGAAUCUUACCUAGUCCUCGAGAAUCACAAAUAAUACCGCCAAUGUAAAUAGUAAAGCCGAUGUACAAGUUAGAACAGCAUUUCUUUUAAUUAGGUUAUUAUUGUAAACGUUGCAUAAUAUAGUCUGGAAUUUUUCAGGGUGCUCA
rnacentral:lncRNA from 1 species